AAAUAAAGCAAAAGGCCCAACAAAUGGAGGAGAAAAGCAAAUGUAAGGUGUGUGUUACAGGAGGUGCAGGGUAUAUAGGUUCUUCUGUUGUAAAGAAAAUUUUUCAAUAAUGGCUAUACUGUUCAUGCUACCCUCAGGAACUUAGAGGAUGAGUCAAAGGUUGGGCUAUUGAAGAGCUUCAGUGGUGCAGAUAAAAGGCUCAAGUUAUUUCAAGCUGACAUUUAUAGGCCAGAGGAAUUUGAGGAGGCUAUUCAAGGCUGUGAAUUUGUUUUCCAUGUUGCCACCCCUUUGUUGCAUUCUGAAGGAUUUCAGUACAAAAAUAAAACUGAGGCUACAUUCGAUGCAGUGAAGAAAAUUGGAAUGGCUUGCCUUAAAUCUGGGACAGUGAAGAGACUUAUCUAUACUGCCUCUAUUGUAUCUGCUUCUCCAAUGAAGGAAGAUAGGAGUGGUUUCAAAGAAUUGAUAGAUGAAACAUGUUGGACACCUCUUAAUUUCUCUAAUCCUUAUACCCAGCUGCUGGGGCUUAGGGUAAGCCUAAUGUAUUUUUUCAAAAUAUUUAGAGUUUAACUUAAAGCA